rnacentral:tRNA from 1 species
AAGAAUGAAGCGAUAAUUUUGCAUUCAGUUUCGACCUGAACCUAGGUUCCUCCCUUUCUUU